UCUGCCCGCCCUGAGAGGCACUGCAGGUGUGGCUGCUGUCACAUGUACAUCAGUAGGUGGCAGAGAGGAGAGAGGCUAUGGUUAAAGUUCUGACCUAUGAACAUCUGAAUGUGGCCCGACCUG
ensembl:snoRNA Gm22099 predicted gene, 22099